rnacentral:piRNA from 1 species
UCACCGCCACAGAUUCCUUUGCUACCUCUG